UACGUAGGGGGCAAGCGUUGUCCGGAAUCAUUGGGCGUAAAGAGCGUGUAGGCGGCCCGAUAAGUCCGCCGUGAAAGCCCAGGGCUCAACCCUGGGGAUGCCGGUGGAUACUGUCGGGCUAGAGUUCGGAAGAGGCAAGUGGAAUUCCUGGUGUAGCGGUGAAAUGCGCAGAUAUCAGGAGGAACACCUAUGGCGAAGGCAGCUUGCUGGGACGGUACUGACGCUGAGGCGCGAAAGCGUGGGGAGCAAACAGG
rnacentral:rRNA from 1 species